rnacentral:rRNA from 1 species
CGUAGGGCGCGAGCGUUGUCCGGAUUUAUUUGGGCGUAAAGAGCUCGUAGGCGGCUUGUCGCGUCGACUGUGAAAACCCACGGCUUAACUGUGGGCUUGCAGUCGAUACGGGCAGGCUAGAGUUCGGUAGGGGAGACUGGAAUUCCUGGUGUAGCGGUGAAAUGCGCAGAUAUCAGGAGGAACACCGGUGGCGAAGGCGGGUCUCUGGGCCGAUACUGACGCUGAGGAGCGAAAGCGUGGGGAGCGAACAGG